CUGCCUUUUCCAGCAUGAGAUUAUUCACUCGACGAUGUCACGACUCCCAAGUCUGAUGUCAUGGUUGUUUCCACAGCAACCAAAUUGAAUCAAGGAAUUAAAAACCAGGAGGAACUCACACAGAAUGGCAACACAACACAGGAGUGCCAUGAAGCAAGCCAUACCCUGCACAUGAUCCAAGAUCUCAACACGCCCAGCUGGUACAGUGCUAGCAUAGCUCAGCGAGGAAUAGCACAGCAUUGGAAACUCAGCACCUUGGCAUUGCACUGCUUUCUGAAUCCUGAUUAAAGGACACAAAAACGUGGUGGCACUGCAGGACUACUCCCGCUGGGGAUUAGGGUAGGGUUGCAGGGAGUGUCUCCUCCCACUGCAGCCCCUGUUUCCAUGCAGCCUCAGGGCACCUGGUGCAACCUCUGCCCACCUACAGGUGCCCAGCAGAGCUGCAGCUCCCCUUGGCCUGUGCAAUAUUCAGUGCUCAGAGACUGUGCUGCUCCUUGCUGGAGGAAGCCUGUAUUGCUAAUGGGAGAGGACAGAAGGAUGCAAGAUGAGCUGCUGUGCCAAGACUGCAUCAUUCUUUUCAGCCUCAGAGGUUUCCCCUAGACCCUCCUGCACUCAUCUUCCUCACCUGCAGGAGAUGCAUGCCUUGCCUUUCACUUGCCACAUGCAUCCUGCUCACUGUGCUUCAGUUUCUGAUGAUGCUGAAUACUCUCUUGCCCAACCCAAAGCCCCAAACCACCCCACUGUCCCACCCCUGUGUGAUACACCCUUUUCAGCACCCCACUGCAAAUGCUGGAGCAAAAAGUCCUGCUCCCCUAGCCAGACUGGGGCGAUCCAUGGCACACAGAGCAGGCAGCCCUCCUCAUAUGAAGGCUGCUUGAAGGAGAGUAUUUUUGCUGUGUCAGCAUCUCUGCUUCUCUAUCCCCUGUGUUUGCUGAUUGCAUCCUUGAAGCGUCACUGUCACGUUAGGUUUUCAGCAUGGAGCUGAGCCCUGAGCUCGGAGGGACAUGGAAAUCUGGGGAGGUCUUCUUCAGCAGAGUGCGAGAGGGGACAAAAAAAAAAGAGAAAGAGAAGGAACAACAUCUGCCUCCUCCUCCUGCCUUCUCCUUCCAUUCAACAGCAAGGCUCUUGCUCGAUUGGUAUGUGAUUGCUGAUGCUGUGAGAAGUGCUUGGGAGCCACCAGGUCAGGAUAAAGAGUCAGCACUGCCUACUCUGGGGCAAGGUGGAGGAACUUGGCAGAACCCCAGGACCUGGCAGCACACUCCUGGCAGUGCAGGAACCGAUGCUCGCACCAAGGAUGUGCCAUUCUCCAAAUCACUGCUGCUCACAGAGCUGCUGAAGAUAAACUUGACCUGUGUUACUGUGUCCAUCCUUUGGGUAUGCUGGAGAAAUCACUCCAGCUCUGUUCAACACCUGGGGCUGCACGUGGACUUCUAAUUAGAUGUCCUGCAUGACUUGGUAGUUGCCCUGGCGAGUAGAAGCCGUCAUUUAGAAGACAUUGCUAUUGAAGAGCAAGCGAGGAAGUGAGGAAAGAAAGAAGAAAUGGAGCUAAAAAACAGGAGGAGGAAAAAUUGUGCUCUUGGAGUGGGUAACUCAGAUGGCAGAGCAGGAAGAUCCUUAUUUCAAUAAACACUGGUAUCUUUGGAAUGAAUUAAAUUCC
rnacentral:lncRNA from 1 species